CUAUGAUCGUUACUUUACCUGUGUAUUUCUUCAACGAGAGCCUGAAAACUUUGCUGCGGCCUGCCUGAGACAGAUCCGAAGUGAAGCAGCCAAUCUUCUCGGGCUCCAGUUUGUGGGCCUGGGCUCAUAGCACGGCUACCCCCCACUGGACCGGUGGCGGUCAUGCCGGUCCCCUCAGGGCAGUUCAGAGAAUUUGCUCGCACAUACCACGACAUCUAAGGUGCAGUGCCAUGACUCUCGAUGCUCCAAAAUGGCGGAUGCCCUACCUUCGAAGCCUCGUGGCGAGUGCACCAUGCAGAGAGUCUCCCAGAUCUCCAUAGAGAGUCCUUGCGGAGGCUUGAUGACCUCUUUUAGCACUUCUGGCUGACAAUAAACUAAUUUUAGCCACCAAAGUCAGUGUUCAGAAGAGAGACAGGAGAGUGAAGC